UACAGAGGGGGCAAGCGUUGUUCGGAAUUACUGGGCGUAAAGGGCGCGUAGGCGGCCCGUUAAGUCGAACGUGAAAUCCCCGGGCUCAACCCGGGAACUGCGUCCGAUACUGGCAGGCUUGAAUCCGGGAGAGGGAUGCGGAAUUCCAGGUGUAGCGGUGAAAUGCGUAGAAUAUCUGGAGGAACACCCGUGGCGAAGGCGGCCAUCUGGACCAGCACUGACGCUGAGGCACGAAAGCGUGGGGAGCAAACAGG
rnacentral:rRNA from 1 species